CCUACGGGAGGCAGCAGUGAGGAAUAUUGGUCAAUGGGCGCAAGCCUGAACCAGCCAAGUCGCGUGAGGGAUGACGGUCCUAUGGAUUGUACACCUCUUUUGUCGGGGAGCAAGGCCCGCCACGUGUGGCGGGAAGGAGAGUACCCGAAGAAAAAGCAUCGGCUAACUCCGUGCCAGCAGCCGCGGUAAUACGGAGGAUGCGAUCGUUAUCCGGAUUUAUUGGGUUUAAAGGGUGCGUAGGCGGAAGGUUAAGUCAGCGGUCAAAUGUCGGUGCUCAACACCGGCCUGCCGUUGAAACUGGGCUUCUUGAGUGAGCGAGAAGUAUGCGGAAUGCGUGGUGUAGCGGGGAAAUGCAUAGAGAUGACGCAGAACUCCGAUUGCGAAGGCAGCAUACCGGCGCUCAACUGACGCUGAGGCACGAAAGCGUGGGGAGCGAACAGGAUUAGAUACCCUUGUAGUC
rnacentral:rRNA from 1 species